rnacentral:rRNA from 1 species
AGCAGCCGCGGUAAUUCCAGCUCCAAUAGCGUAUAUUAAAGUUGUUGCAGUUAAAAAGCUCGUAGUUGAAUUUCGGGGUCAGUAGGUUGGUCGUGCCACUGGUAUGCACUGGUCUCACUGAUUCCUCCUUCCUGAUGAACCGUAAUGCCAUUAAUUUGGUGUUGCGGGGAGUCUGGACUGUUACUUUGAAAAAUUAGAGUGUUUAAAGCAGGCUAACGCUUGAAUACAUUAGCAUGGAAUAAUGAAAUAGGACGAUCGAUCCUAUUUUGUUGGUUUCUAGGAUUGACGUAAUGAUUAAUAGGGAUAGUUGGGGGCAUUAGUAUUCAAUUGUCAGAGGUGAAAUUCUUGGAUUUAUUGAAGACUAACUACUGCGAAAGCAUUUGCCAAGGAUGUUUUCAUUAAUCAAGAACGAAAGUUAGGGGAUCGAAGACGAUCAGAUACCGUCGUAGUCUUAACCAUAAACUAUGCCGACUAGGGAUCGGAUGAUGUUAAUUUUUAAUGACUCAUUC